GGGAGUCAGGGUGGUCUGACUGUGACAUCUGUCACCCCAUUGAUCUCCAGGGGUUGGUGGAGCUGGCCUGGCUGCCUCAAUAGCUGUCCCCUUCCUCCCUCACAAUGCCAUGUGUGUCCUUCCUGAAACUGUGCACUCAGUCAAAGAGGAAGGUCUUCCCUGGUUGACACUUAGAUCAAAAGUGGGUGAGUAGCUGCACUGCUAGAACCUUCAAAUAAGCAGCCAAGGCUCACGGUGCUCUGAGGAUUUCGCCAUUUCUUGCUUACUCGCAGAGCUCUCAGAAUAUCUAAAGCCAUGACUGGGAUCCUAU
ensembl:misc_RNA 7SK 7SK RNA